rnacentral:rRNA from 1 species
GAUGAACGCUGGCGGCGUGCCUAAUACAUGCAAGUCGAGCGAACAGACGAGGAGCUUGCUCCUCUGACGUUAGCGGCGGACGGGUGAGUAACACGUGGAUAACCUACCUAUAAGACUGGGAUAACUUCGGGAAACCGGAGCUAAUACCGGAUAACAUGUUGAACCGCAUGGUUCAACAGUGAAAGACGGUCUUGCUGUCACUUAUAGAUGGAUCCGCGCCGCAUUAGCUAGUUGGUAAGGUAACGGCUUACCAAGGCAACGAUGCGUAGCCGACCUGAGAGGGUGAUCGGCCACACUGGAACUGAGACACGGUCCAGACUCCUACGGGAGGCAGCAGUAGGGAAUCUUCCGCAAUGGGCGAAAGCCUGACGGAGCAACGCCGCGUGAGUGAAGAAGGUCUUCGGAUCGUAAAACUCUGUUAUUAGGGAAGAACAAAUGUGUAAGUAACUAUGCACGCCUUGACGGUACCUAAUCAGAAAGCCACGGCUAACUACGUG